rnacentral:rRNA from 1 species
UACGAAGGGGGCUAGCGUUGUUCGGAAUUACUGGGCGUAAAGCGCGCGCAGGCGGUCUUUCAAGUCAGUGGUGAAAGCCUGGAGCUCAACUCCAGAACUGCCAUUGAAACUGCAAGACUUGAGUACGAGAGAGGUGAGUGGAAUUCCCAGUGUAGAGGUGAAAUUCGUAGAGAUUGGGAAGAACACCAGUGGCGAAGGCGGCUAUCUGGACGGUUUCUGACACUAAGACUCGAAAGCGUGGGGAGCAAACAGG